rnacentral:tRNA from 1 species
GCGGACGUGGCGGAAUUGGCAGACGCGCUGGUUUCAGGUUCCAGUGAAGCGAUUCAUGUGGGUUCAAGUCCCGUCGUCCGCACCA